UAACAUAACCACUUCUGUUUUUCUUUUCAUUUUUUUGAUAACAAGAAUUUCCUCUUUGUUGAUUAAUCAGGCUACAGACAUGCUGUAAACAGUACAGAAGGCAGGUACUAGUGACCAUGAGACCAGGACAAAGUAGCCCUAGCAAAUGUUGCAUCUUUUGCACACAAAUGAGUAGCAAAAAUGGCAGACCGUUUUACAAAGUUUAUAGUGCAGAAACUAAAUAAGCCUGAUAUGACAACCACUUUAUUCUGCAUCCCUAUCAUGUGAAGAGGGGGGAAACACCAGAAACAUGAGGCAUGGUAUCAGGUUACUCAUCUUUUGCUUAUUGGGUCCUUUGCACCAUACAGACUUAGAUAGCAAAGACAUAGUAGAUAGUACUCCCUCCGAUCCAUAUUACUUGUCGCUCAAAUGGAUGUAUCUAGCAUCCAUUUGAGCGACAAGAACUAUGGAUCGGAGGGAGUACUAAACAUUAUCACCAGUGACUCACUCGCGCGACAAUGCAACGGACUUGUCCAUCAUGGAUUCCUUUAGUGCAGCUCCGAAAUAUCAGCAGUAAGCACCUUCACAG
rnacentral:lncRNA from 1 species